UGUUCAAUUUGCUUGUUGGAUGGUAGUGUGUGUGUGUGUGUGUGUGUGUGUGUGUGUGUGCGCUUGUGACCGUAUGCCUGUCUACCUGUAGGUACGCGACUGCCCGUGCGCACCUGGAAGAGCAUACCUGCCUGACUGAGAGUGACAGUGCAUGGGUGUGACUGUCUGAUGCAUGUGCGGGUGUGUCUGCUUGCCUGUGAUACUGCGACCCGAGCCCUGGUAGUGGAAAUGUAGCUCAUCGUCGGGGCGACGAUGCAAAAAGCUGGGAGAAAAUGUAACGGGUUCAGCUGUCAAGCAAGGUGAGCGCUGUCCCUUGCCAGCUCCCGUAUUGUUAUGACGUCACAGAUUCAGCUAGCUGCUGAGUGGCUUCGCAGCAAGUGGCAUCUAGGUCAAUUUUUAUAAAAAGAGCCGAAAGCGGUAGGGCCGCUGGAGCUCUCCCGGUGUUGGUUUUGGUGUUGCUGUAGGCCUAUGCAGUGCUCAGAUCCGGUGAUGCCCAGCUUACCGUAUCCAUGUCAGUGUGGAGGUGAGCCAGGGAUCCUCCCCAGGUGCUCGGGUUGUCGCUACCCCAACUUGUAGCAUUCUGUCCACCUGUUUGAGAUGUGCUAUCGAGGGUCGGUGGUAACUGUUCACUGCUGUUUUGCCCUUAGAUUUUAAGUGUUACCUCUGUUAUUUGUUUUGUUUGAUUUCG